AUGAGAGCGGACGUCUCCAACACCACUAGCCUUCGCCAUGCACUAGAUGAUUAUUGUGCAGCUUCGGGCCAACUGGUGAGUGAGGCAAAAUCAAGUAUCUUUUUUUGUCCAUGUAACCCUGUGGAGGUGAGGGCCGAAGUUUGCACAACCCUGAGUAUUAGGGUGGAGGCAAUUACAGACAAGUAUUUGGGUCUACCCCCCCCCCCCCUAGUUGGGGUGGACAGACCUGACAGUUUUCAGCACUUGGUGGAUAGAGUUCUGAAAAGAAUUAGAGGAUGGAAGGAAAAAAUGCUCUCUUUUGGAGGAAAGGAAAUAUUAUUAAAGGCCAUUGUUCAAGCCCUACCGUCGUAUGCCAUGUCAGUAUUCAAAUUACCCAAACAAGUAUGUAAUGGGAUAACUACUGCUAUGUCUCAAUAACUAUGGGGUGAUGAGGAUAUGAAGAAGCAUAUGCAUUGGUUUGCAUGGUGGAAAAUGUGUGUCCCAAAGAGCAAAGGUAUGAGUGUCAGUGAUUUGCACCGUUUUAAUAUGACUUUACUUGCUAAACAAUGCCGGAGAUUAGUAGAGCCAGAUUCUUUAUGUGCAAGAGUUUUAAAAGCAAAAUACUUUGCUGAUGCAGACUAA
rnacentral:rRNA from 1 species